rnacentral:rRNA from 1 species
CCUACGGGAGGCAGCAGUGAGGAAUAUUGGUCAAUGGGCGCGAGCCUGAACCAGCCAAGUAGCGUGAAGGCUGACUGCCCAACGGGUUGUAAACUUCUUUUAUCAAGGGAUAAAGUGAGGCACGUGUACCUUUUUGUGUGUACUUUAUGAAUAAGGAUCGGCUAACUCCGUGCCAGCAGCCGCGGUAAUACGGAGGAUCCGAGCGUUAUCCGGAUUUAUUGGGUUUAAAGGGGGCGGAGAGGGGGUGUUAAGUCAGUUGUGAAAGUUUGCGGCUCAACCGUAAAAUUGCAAUUGAUCCUGGAAGCCUUGAGUACAUUUGAGGUAGGCGGAAUUCGUGGUGUAGCGGUGAAAUGCUUAGAUAUCACGAAGAACUCCGAUUGCGAAGGCAGCUUACUAAACUGCCACUGACAUUGAUGCUCGAAAGUGUGGGUAUCAAACAGGAUUAGAUACCCUAGUAGUC